ensembl:rRNA 5S_rRNA 5S ribosomal RNA
GCCAGCAGCCUUAUCACUCUGCAACUCACAACUGGCAGCCCACUGAAGCUACGCAGGUGUGAGCCUGGUCAGUACCUGGAUGGGAGACCUCCUGGGAAAAACUAAGGUUGCUGCUGAAA